CCUACGGGUGGCAGCAGUAGGGAAUAUUGCUCAAUGGGGGAAACCCUGAAGCAGCAACGCCGCGUGGAGGAUGAAGGUUUUCGGAUUGUAAACUCCUUUUGUUAGAGAAGAUAAUGACGGUAUCUAACGAAUAAGCACCGGCUAACUCCGUGCCAGCAGCCGCGGUAAUACGGAGGGUGCAAGCGUAACUCGGAAUCACUGGGCGUAAAGCGCGAGUAGGCGGGAUAGCAAGUCAGAUGUUAAAUACUAUGGCUUAACCAUAGAACUGCAGUUGAAACUGUUAUUCUAGAGUAUGGGAGAGGUAGGUGGAAUUCUUGGGGUAGAGGUAAAAUGCGUAGAGAUCAAGAGGAAUACUCAUUGCGAAGGCGAAUGGCUAGAACAUAACGGACGCUGAUGCGCGAAAGCGUGGGGAGCAAACAGGAUUAGAUACACCAGUAGUC
rnacentral:rRNA from 1 species